GGUAGAGAAUGACACUUGAAGAUGAGUACUCAAGAACACUUAUAUUCCUGGUCAUGGACUUAAAUUUAGACCACCUAUAUUCCUGGUCAUGGACUUAAAUUUAGACCUAACGGAAAGUGCUUGAGCCCAUCUAAUCCUGUUCAAUAAUAACCGGAAAUCUAGUUGAGUUGAACCAAACUGGUUAUGAACCCAAUCUGAUCAGAUUGUUGUCAGCUUC
rnacentral:lncRNA from 1 species